rnacentral:tRNA from 1 species
GCGAAGUAGGGUUUUUCUCAUGACUAAUUUGAAAUUAGUUAGAUUGUGUUUCACAAGCUUUGCU